rnacentral:rRNA from 1 species
AACGAACGCUGGCGGCGUGGAUAAGACAUGCAAGUCGAACGGGACUAAAUCCGUAGCAAUACAGGUUUAGUUUAGUGGCGAACGGGUGCGUAACACGUGGGCAAUCUGCCGAGAAGUGGGGGAUAGCUCGCCGAAAGGCGAAUUAAUACCGCAUAUGAUCAGUGAAGACAUCUUCACGACAUCAAAGCCGGGGCAACCUGGCGCUUCUUGAUGAGCCCGCGGCCAUCAGCUAGUUGGUGAGGUAACGGCUCACCAAGGCUAUGACGGGUAGCUGGUCUGAGAGGACGACCAGUCACACUGGAACUGAGACACGGUCCAGACACCUACGGGUGCAGCA